CGGCAACCGGCGGCGAUGCGGACCUCUCCCGGGCUCGGGGACCACCCGCGGCCCCCGACGGCUCUCGGAGCCGGCCAGGGUGGGGGCCUCAGGGCCAGGGUGGGCCUCGCAAACUUGGACGUUUACGUUCUCGGCUUCCUCCCAGCCUAGGCAGUGAGUGCAAACUCGAGCCGUCCGCGCUAACGAGCCCGGGCGACUGCGGCGAGCGCGGGUCAGCGGCGCGGGUCUGGGGUCGCGAGUGCCUCAGGAGCGCGGCCCGAGGGAGCUCCGCCUGCCGUCGUCAGGCGCGGUCCGCAGUUCAGACCCAGGAUCCGUAAGGCCGCGGGGAGGACUCCCAAGACCCCAACCCCGUGCUUCCCCUUCGGAAUCUAAGCUCCCAGGCAGGAAAGAGUUAUCUACACUCGCUGCCUCUGCUCCAGUUCACUUCUCGACCUGGGCAAAUCCUGGACAAUUGGAAGGACUUCUCGGUCGUCGUUUUCACCUCACAGGUUCUCCUGGUGCCUGCUUGGUGCCAGGCACUGUGGUGACCCUAGAGGACUGCACGGAUAGCCCCUAGGGUCCUAGCACUUCCUGGAGAUGAGCGACGUGCAGACACCUAUGUGCUUACUUGGGGUGAGCUAAGAUCUUCCUGCCUAUCCUGGUAAACUCGACAACUGCCACCUGCCCACUUCUCUGUCCCUCUGUACAGACCUGCCUAGCGCCCCACACUCGGUUUUCCCACCUAAGAUACCCCUCAGAUCUCUCACACAAGCCCCCCCUUCCCCGACACCACUGACUCCCACACUUUAUUUUUUUAAUUUAUUUUGUUUAUUUUUGCAGAAGUGGGAUUGAACCCAGGGAGCUCUACCACCGCGCUGCAUCCCCAGCCCUUCAUAUUUUUUUCUUUUGAGGCAGGGUCUCACUGGCAGCAGUAGCUGGGAACACAGGCAUGCUGGGAGUCUAGGUGGGUGUCCCCCUGCACAUCUUAAAUACAGCUGUCCUCCUCAAGAGUCUGGCUUCAUCUGAUCUCUGACUUUGGAGGCCUCCAUCCGUCCUUCCCCUAGUCACACACCCUUUCACUGGGAGCCCCUGGCCUCAGCCAUGCCUCUCACACACUACAUGCUCCCAAGAGCUCCCUCAGCUGCCUGUCCGCACCUCCGUCAGUGCCAGCUCCCUCCUGAAGUUCGAGGGUUCACCUCAAGACCUUGGGGUCUCCUUUGGCCCUCCCUCCUUCCACCUGCAAAUCCACGCCACUCCACCUUGCACACCUGCCAGAACCUAGCCACCCACCACCACAGGCUCGGUGCUGGGACUGUUUCCUGUGCUGCCUUACCACAUAAGCCACUCCCUGGUGCCCUGUGUCCAAAAGCCCCCACGGUCCCCAUUGUUCUUGGAUGACAGCCAAGUCCUCAGCAUGGUCUACAGGUCCUCCCGGACUUGGGGCCACAGAAUCCUCUCUGCCUUCAUUUCCCCCUCGCUCAUCCUGGCUUACCCCACCACCUGGCCUCCUUGCUGGCUCUGGCCCAGGACCUUGCAGUGCAGCCCCCACUCCCAGGAGCACCUUCCCAAAUAUCUGCCAGACUCUUUGAGUCUGUGCCUGACAUACCCAAUGGCCAUAGGAGCAGUCUGUUCCCCUGCCUGGCAGGAUGGGGCAGUGAUGGGCAGCAAUCAGCACCCAGGAGGAAGGGGGCCUGCUGGCAGAACCACCCCCUCCCCCUGGACCAGGCCAUUGCCAGGGCUGUGGCCUUGGCCCCCGGGCCACCCAGAGCCCCCUCUGGCACUAGACCUUGAUCCCUUCCUGAGGGGCCAGAAGAGAGAAGGACCCUAGGGGGUCCUCUGGUACCCUAGGACUUCCCCAUGGCUGUGUGAUUGAAGGAGACGUCAAGGUCCCAGCCCUGAUGCUCCUGCCCUCUGCAGGCAGGUGGGUCAGCCAGUGUUUCUUUCUGUCCACUGGACACCAUUUCUCAGACAUGCCCACCCAACACCCCGAUGGUCACCCUGGCCCAUGUCCAGCCCUGGAGCUCUUGAUGGUCAGAGCAGCCCUUCCUGGGUGAGGGGUCAAGGGGGCCUGCUGGGAAGCUAGUUUCCAGGGUCACUGCUGGCCCCCCAGUCCAGGAGGGAACAAGGGAGGGGCUGCUGGCAGCCCUUUGGAGAGUGAAGCCUCAGUUUUCUAUGGGGCUCUGAGGAGAGGGCACCUAAUCCAGGAGGAGGCCUCGGUGGGGUCCCAUCCUGUCUUGGACCACGUCCAGCCCUGGAGUGGGGGGGGGGUCCUGUGCAGCUUUGCAGAGGCUCCAGCAGAGGGCUAUCAGGAAAGCCUGCCAGGCCUCCCUCCCAAGCCUCCACCCACCCGGCCCAUCCUUCCUCUCCUGCAGGGUGGAGGCCUCCCAUCUGCAUUCUUCCCGCUGAGGAGACCAGCAAAACAGGCCUCCGCCCUGGCCCUGGGCCCGCCUGGAGGAAGAGGGACCAUGGCUUCCGGGAUUCCAACAGCCCCCCAGCCUGGAGACCCUCGGGGCUUCGGGUGCUGAGGGACAGGCAGGCAAGCUCACAGGACACGGUCACCAGGGUCACCAUGUUGCUUGGCAACAGGCACAGUGUUUGUUCCCAAAUUUAACACUCCCC
rnacentral:lncRNA from 1 species